AACGCGAAGAACCUUACCAACCCUUGACAUCGCAGGACCGCCCCGGAGACGGGGUUUUCUCGUAAGAGACCUGUGGACAGGUGCUGCAUGGCUGUCGUCAGCUCGUGUCGUGAGAUGUUCGGUUAAGUCCGGCAACGAGCGCAACCCACACCCUUAGUUGCCAGCAUUCAGUUGGGCACUCUAAGGGAACUGCCCGUGAUAAGCGGGAGGAAGGUGUGGAUGACGUCAAGUCCUCAUGGCCCUUACGGGUUGGGCUACACACGUGCUACAAUGGUGGUGACAAUGGGUUAAUCCCAAAAAGCCAUCUCAGUUCGGAUUGUCGUCUGCAACUCGGCGGCAUGAAGUCGGAAUCGCUAGUAAUCGCGUAACAGCAUGACGCGGUGAAUACGUUCCCGGGUCUUGUACACACCG
rnacentral:rRNA from 1 species